GAUGAACGCUGGCGGCGUGCUUAACACAUGCAAGUCGAACGGAAAGACCCUGCGCUUGUUUGGUUCUCGAGUGCCGAACGGGUGAGUAACACGCGAGUAACCUGCCCCUGUCUUUCUGAUAACAUCACGAAACUGGGGCUAUUAUCGCAGAUGAUCUCCUGCUGCAUGUUGGUCAUUGGAAAGAUUCGGCGGUUGGAGAUGGUCUCGCGGGUUAUCAGCUUGAUUGUCUGGUAGUGACUGACCAAGGCUGCGAAGGGUAGCCGGCCUGAGAGGGUGACCGGGGACAUUGGGACUGAGAUACGGCGCAGAAUCCUACGGGAGGCAGUAGUGGGGAAUAUGGCGGAAUGGGGGGACGUGUGAUGCAGCAACGCCGCGUGCGGGAUGACGGCCUUCGGGUUGUAAACAGAUGUCGACUGUGACGAAGAGUGAGUGACGGUAAUGAGUAAGGAAGCAACGGCUAACUACGUG
rnacentral:rRNA from 1 species